GCAUAUCAAUAAGCGGAGGAAAAGAAACCAACAGGGAUUGCCCUAGUAACGGCGAGUGAAGCGGCAACAGCUCAAAUUUGAAAUCUGGCCCUCCUUUGGGGGUCCGAGUUGUAAUUUGCAGAGGGAGCUUCGGCGUCGGCGUCGGCCUAAGUUCUUUGGAACAGGACGUCAUAGAGGGUGAGAACCCCGUACGUGGCCGUCAGCCUUUGCCGUGUGAAGCCCCUUCGACGAGUCGAGUUGUUUGGGAAUGCAGCUCUAAAUGGGAGGUAAAUUUCUUCUAAAGCUAAAUAGCGGCCAGAGACCGAUAGCGCACAAGUAGAGUGAUCGAAAGAUGAAAAGCACUUUGGAAAGAGAGUCAAAAAGCACGUGAAAUUGUUGAAAGGGAAGCGCUUGCAGCCAGACUUGUCUGCGGUUGUUCAUCCGGGCCCACGCCCGGUGCACUCGUCCGCAGGCAGGCCAGCAUCAGUUCGGGCGGUCGGAUAAAGGCCCCGGGAAUGUAGCUCUCUUCGGGGAGUGUUAUAGCCCGGGGUGCAAUGCGGCCAGCCUGGACUGAGGUCCGCGCUUCGGCUAGGAUGCUGGCGUAAUGGCCGCAAGCGGCCCGUCUUGAAACACGGACCAAGGAGUCUAACAUCUAUGCGAGUGUUUGGGUGUCAAACCCGGACGCGCAAUGAAAGUGAACGGAGGUGGGAACCCCCUCGGGGGUGCACCAUCGACCGAUCCUGAUGUCUUCGGAUGGAUUUGAGUAAGAGCAUAGCUGUUGGGACCCGAAAGAUGGUGAACUAUGCCUGAAUAGGGUGAAGCCAGAGGAAACUCUGGUGGAGGCUCGCAGCGGUUCUGACGUGCAAAUCGAUCGUCAAAUUUGGGCAUAGGGGCGAAAGACUAAUCGAACUAUCUAGUAGCUGGUUCCUGC
rnacentral:rRNA from 1 species